CCUACGGGUGGCAGCAGUGGGGAAUAUUGGACAAUGGGGGGAACCCUGAUCCAGCCAUGCCGCGUGUGUGAAGAAGGCCCUCGGGUUGUAAAGCACUUUCAGUGAGGAAGAACGCCUGGUGGUUAAUACCCAUCAGGAAAGACAUCACUCACAGAAGAAGCACCGGCGAACUCCGUGCCAGCAGCCGCGGUAAUACGGAGGGUGCGAGCGUUAAUCGGAAUUACUGGGCGUAAAGCGCGCGUAGGUGGCUUGAUAAGCCGGUUGUGAAAGCCCCGGGCUCAACCUGGGAACGGCAUCCGGAACUGUCAAGCUAGAGUGCAGGAGAGGAAGGUAGAAUUCCCGGUGUAGCGGUGAAAUGCGUAGAGAUCGGGAGGAAUACCAGUGGCGAAGGCGGCCUUCUGGACUGACACUGACACUGAGGUGCGAAAGCGUGGGUAGCAAACAGGAUUAGAUACCCCGGUAGUC
rnacentral:rRNA from 1 species